CUAUUCUUUUCUGUAAGUGUUAUAAAUAUCAGCUCUUUUCCUGUGGUAGAUUUUGGCAUUUUGGCAGAUGCCUGUGUGUGGUGGCUUCCUGUCUGACAACUUUGGGAAGAAAAAUCUAUGCUUGUGGAAUGCCUUUGUGCAGCUUGUAGAGAUCAUAACAGUAUCUGGGGUGAUUCCUGUUCAGCCUCGAACUUUAGAAACCCUCUCACUCAGCACUAAAUGCUCAUGACUCUUGUGCUAGAGCUUGGGGAAAUGAUUUUGCAGCUUCCAGAAUCCCCUAGUCAGCAUAACUUGUGGCUGUGUUGGCUAGCGUAUUCUGGGGGUUGAAGGCCAAAAAAGUAACUUUUCUAAGUUCUAUUUGUGAGCUUUGAAGCCCAGCUGAGAUUCCUAUUGAUAUACAGUGAAUAUAUAGCAAAUACAUAGACUGGAUAAGAUGUCUAGCUUUGUUGUCUACCUGAGAGUGCAAAAAACAAGUGGCUCUAUCAAGCUUCGAAAGUAUGAACUUUAUUUAUAUCCCACCAUUCUCCCAAAACUGGGAUUCAAAGCACUUCACAAAUUAAAAUAAGUGUAAUGCGGUUGAAACAUAAAAAAGAUUGAUGCUGAAAUAGAAUCAAGCUAUGAACAGGAUUUAAAAAGUAAUUUAAAAUAUACAAUUAAACAUGAUAAAAGGUCAGUUAAAAACAAUAGAAUUAAAACCAUGCAACACCUUCUUUAAAGUAUUGUCUUUAAAACUGAGUUCUCAAAAUCCUGUUAUCAAAACCCUGUUUUCACUUUCUGGUGGAAGGAUUCAGUUGUCGCUAGGAAGGGAAUUCUAGAGCCUAGAGGCAGCCACCAAGAAAGCUGUAUCUUGCAUCCUGACCAGUGAAUGUGAUGGGACUGCGAGAAGAGUCCUCCCUCCAAUGAUCUCAGGCCCAAGUAUGCUCAUUUUGGGAGAUACAGUCCGUCAGAUAGCCUAGAAUUAAGCUAUAUAGGUUUUUGUAAGUCAUAACCAGAACUCUGAAUUGUGCCAGUAAAUAGAUGCAACCAGUGGAGCUCUUAUAGGAAGGCAGUUGUAUGGUUCCACUAACUUUACAUGGCAACUGGACAUUGUUUGGCUCACAAAUUGCAACUGCUUGGCUUGAAACAUCCCUGUUUGCAAUAACUGUAUUAAAUUGUUUUCUCCUCCAUAGUGAUCUCAUCCUUUCUUUAAAAGAUGAGGCUGGUCAUACUUGAUAAUUACGAUCUCGCUAGCGAAUGGGCUGCAAAGUACAUCUGCAAUCGCAUCAUCCAGUUCAAGCCGAGUCAGAGCAGAUAUUUCACUCUUGGCUUACCAACAGGUAGUACACCUCUGGGAUGCUACCAGAAGCUAAUAGAAUAUCACAAAAGAGGAGAUCUGUCUUUCAAAUAUGUGAAGACAUUCAACAUGGAUGAAUAUGUGGGGCUUCCCAGAAAUCAUCCAGAGAGCUACCAUUCAUACAUGUGGAACAAUUUCUUCAAGCAUAUUGACAUAGAUCCAAACAAUGCUCAUAUUCUUGACGGAAAUGCUCCAGAUCUAAAGGCAGAGUGUGACGCAUUUGAAAAAAAAAUAGAAGAAGCUGGGGGGAUAGACCUAUUUGUUGGAGGUAUUGGUCCAGAUGGUCACAUAGCUUUCAACGAACCAGGGUCAAGUUUGGUAUCGAGGACAAGACUGAAGACACUAGCCAUGGACACAAUUUUGGCAAAUGCAAAAUAUUUUGAUGGCGACUUAACUAAAGUUCCAACAAUGGCAUUAACAGUUGGUGUGGGGACAGUGAUGGACGCCAGAGAAGUGAUGAUUCUAAUCACUGGUGCACACAAAGCUUUUGCCUUGUACAAGGCAAUUGAAGAAGGGGUCAAUCAUAUGUGGACAGUUUCUGCUUUUCAGCAACAUCCACACACUAUCUUUGUAUGUGAUGAAGAUGCAACAUUAGAACUAAGAGUGAAAACUGUCAAGUAUUUUAAAGGUCUAAUGCAUGUGCACAAUAAACUUGUGGACCCUCUAUAUAGUAUGAAAGAACAAAAAUGACGGACAACCCAUGCUGGACCCCACCUCUGACCCUGGCGGUGUUACUAAGUAGCAGACAAAUUUACUGCUAUGCAAUAUGCUGAAAACUGGCUAAGAUCUCUUUUGCCUGUUACAUGCUGUAUUCUGCUGGAAACCAGUGGAACAUUCUGAACUUAAAGAGUGCAGGCGUAAACAAGCUCUCCACAAAUGUAAUUUAAAUAUAGAACUCUAUCUUUUUAUUUUGUCUCAAGGCCUUUUUUUCUUGGCAUGUGUAAAAUAACCAAUGAACUAUUAAAUGGGCACUUUACUGUGGAAUGGUUACACACAACUGUUACACCGAAUAUCAGCUGUAGUUAUUUUUAUAAAUGGGGGGAAAGGAUUCUACAUAUCAUAAAUGCAUCCUAUAACCUUUAAAUCAUCAUCAUAGUAAGAGUCAAGUAAGAAUUAAACUUGAGCAAAGUUUAAUAUAGAUCUGUUCUGGCAAAAAUGCAUUUAUACAUAGCUGGUUUUAAAGGGGGAAUUUCUUCCCAAGGUCACAAGAUGAGAAGAAUCUUGGAAAAGCUAGAUUUGGAAACACUGAAAAGUUGUACUCUUCUAAAAAGGAAGAACUAAAUUAGAUCACACAGGGGCAGUUAGUCCAUUAGUCCUCAUUGGAAAAAGUUAAAUGCGUAUUUUCCUUUCACAUUCUUCUAGGGCCACAUGUAGGCCUGAACGGAUGUUUAUCAUAACAGGAAUAAGAGCUGCUUUACACAAGUAUGUAUACCACAUUAUUCUUGGGCAAGAGCCACAGCUCAGUUGCUGGGCACAUUUACUAUAUAUUCUGGCCACUACACUCAUUUGGUGGCCUUUCAUUCAGGGAUGCAAGAGACUUUGGAGGGUCCCUAGAAACUAAACAGUUGGUUUCAGUUUAAGUGAACUACACAAACAAAACAAAUCAAGCUGGACAAGUGCCCUCAAAAAUAUUAUGUGGGGUGAAAUGAAAGUUCUGCUUAAUUGAUGGGACCUCAUUUUCAUGUAUGACCAUGCAACCAAGCAUGCUUGUGAAAAGCUUUCUGCUCUCAAGUGUAUUGCUUCUAAAUCAAAUAAAACCACUAUUAAAUUUGAAAUGUUAUUCUUUGUGGGGAAGCAGAUUAGCUGGUAGUAACAGAAAUCUGUUUAAGUGACUUCAUUUUGCUGGCAUCACCUAUGUCCCAAGUAUUUAGGGACACUCGCUGAAGGCAGGGCUUUUCAAUUCUGCCUGCAAGCCUAUUCCUGUGUAGUCAGAGGAUAAAAUGUAAAUCAUACUGAGAUGAGCGGUGUGUGGCCCUCCAGAUGGUGUCUCCCAUCAUCCCUCACCACUGGUUAUGCAGCCUGGGUCUCCUCAAUUGCCAUCCAGUAGCAGCCUAAGGCCAUAAAUUUCCCCAUCCUGUUCUAUAAGAUACUGAGACUGAUUAGUUUGCAUUAACAGCAUUUUAACACCGUUAUCAGAAUGACUGCAACUUCCACCCACAUGAAUCUGUCCACAAACCAUCCUUAGAAGGAGUCUAGUUCUGUCUACCAUCAUUGCCUUGAGGUCCUGACUGUCACAAGCCUUUUGGCAAAGUAGAAAAUUUGUAAAACCCUUUGCCCCAUGACAUGCAGCUAACUUUUCAUGUAGUUACGCUGGGGUGUCAACUAGCACUUUUGUUUGGAUGCGCCUUCCUAUAAUGUACUGUAGCUCCUUGCUUAGAUUUUGGUUUGGCGACACUCUGCAGAAAUUAACUAUCCUCAUACAAGCAAAGGAGAAACCUAGGACACACCUCUGGUUGUCUAAUGAUGUCAUGGGGAUGUGGGUUCUGUGACAGAAAUGAAAGGUUAUUAAUAAGUUUGCAUAGACAUUGAUAUCUGCCACCUUAUGUGUAAUGUUUAUUUGGUCUUGUAUGUCACUA